UACGUAGGGUGCGAGCGUUGACCGGAAUUAUUGGGCGUAAAGAGCUCGUAGGUGGUUUGUCGCGUUGUUCGUGAAAUCUCACGGCUUAACUGUGAGCGUGCGAGCGAUACGGGCAGACUGGAGUACUGCAGGGGAGACUGGAAUUCCUGGUGUAGCGGUGGAAUGCGCAGAUAUCAGGAGGAACACCGGUGGCGAAGGCGGGUCUCUGGGCAGUAACUGACGCUGAGGAGCGAAAGCGUGGGGAGCGAACAGG
rnacentral:rRNA from 1 species